AGGACGAACGCUGGCGGCGUGCUUAACACAUGCAAGUCGAACGGAUUCGUGGCACUUGUGUUGCGGGUUAGUGGCGAACGGGUGAGUAACACGUGAGUAACCUGCCCCAGACUCUGGGAUAACUCCGGGAAACCGGUGCUAAUACUGGAUAUGACAUCAAGCCGCAUGGUUAUGGUGUGGAAAGUUUUUCGGUCUGGGAUGGGCUCGCGGCCUAUCAGCUUGUUGGUGGGGUAACGGCCUACCAAGGCGACGACGGGUAGCCGGCCUGAGAGGGCGACCGGCCACACUGGGACUGAGACACGGCCCAGACUCCUACGGGAGGCAGCAGUGGGGAAUAUUGCGCAAUGGGCGGAAGCCUGACGCAGCGACGCCGCGUGGGGAUGAAGGCCUUCGGUUGUAACCCUUCAGCAGGGACGAAGCGGAAGUGACGGUACCUGCAGAAGAAGCGCCGGCUAACUACGUGCCAGCAGCCGC
rnacentral:rRNA from 1 species